AGACAGCAGUCGCCACGGUAAUACGUAGGGUGCAAGCGUUAAUCGGAAUUACUGGGCGUAAAGCGUGCGCAGGCGGUUAUAUAAGUCAGAUGUGAAAUCCCCGGGCUCAACCUGGGAACUGCAUUUGAGACUGUAUGGCUAGAGUGUGUCAGAGGGGGGUAGAAUUCCACGUGUAGCAGUGAAAUGCGUAGAUAUGUGGAGGAAUACCGAUGGCGAAGGCAGCCCCCUGGGAUAACACUGACGCUCAUGCACGAAAGCGUGGGGAGCAAACAGGAUUAGAUACCCCCGUAGUCCCUGUCUCUUAUAC
rnacentral:rRNA from 1 species